GACGAACGCUGGCGGCGUGGAUUAGGCAUGCAAGUCGAACGGUAUGGACCUUUCGGGGUUCAGAGAGUGGCGAACGGGUGAGUAACACGUAGGUUAUCUACCCUCAAGACGGGGACAACCCAGGGAAACUUGGGCUAAUACCGGAUGUGAGCAACUUUUAGUUGUUUGAAAGGUGGCGUAAGCUGUCGCUUGGGGAUGAGCCUGCGUCCUAUUAGUUAGUUGGUGAGGUAACGGCUCACCUAGGCAAUGAUAGGUAGGCGGCCUUAACGGGUGGUCGCCCACACUGGGAUUGAGAUACGGCCCAGACUCCUACGGGAGGCAGCAGUCGAGAAUAGUCUACAAUGGUCGGAAGACUGAUAGUGCGACGCCGCGUGAACGAUGAAUCCCUUCGGGUGUAAAGUUCUUUUAUAUGUGAGCAGUGCUUCUUAUAUUAACAGUAUGGGGAGAGAGAUAUUAGCAUAUGAAUAAGCAACGGCUAACUCCGUGCCAGCAGCCGCGGUAAAAGUGU
rnacentral:rRNA from 1 species